UCGAGAGAAAAAGAAUUUUUGGAAAAUUUUAAGAUUUUUGAAGAUUUUUUACAGGUCCGGGGUCACAGAUUUUUUCAAAAAAUGACUAAGUUCUUUUUCUCCUUAUAUGACCUAAAUAUUCAUCCAAAACACUCCGAAUGAUGUUUCUAGCGUAUUUUCAGGCAUCGAUGGUUGUUUCGAGAAAAAAACUUUAAUAACAAAUUUUCAGAUAUUUUUACUUUUUACCGGUCAAUGGUCCAGAUUUUUGAAAGAUCACUCGGUGUUUCAUUUGCAAUACAUGCCGUGCAACUUUUCAAGAUAACUUUUUUCCUGUUUUAAUAUAUCAUGAGCCGUUAGGUUGUUUGGAGUGAAAAAUUUUGUUUUUUUCAUGCCUAUUUCUCAAUCUUUUUUGCAGCAAUAAUGCAUCGUUUUUUAAUCUUUACAAAUAUUUUUCAGAUGUCAGUUGGAUGCUGACAGACUUUAUUCACAAUGACUUCAGAAAGAUGUCACUUGGAUGCUCACAGAUUUGUUACACAAUGACUUCAGAAAGAUGUCACUUGGAUGCUGACAGACUUGAUUCACAAUGACUUCAGAAAGAAUAUAGUUGAGCGUGUGCUGGCCAUGGAGGGUUGCUGCAGAAGGGCCGUGGAGUCCUUCAGAUAAGUCCUUAUUUUCAAAGAAUGGUGUUUUGAAUUGGAAACACCGGGCAAUGAAGUGGAGACUACCUUCGCUUGCCAGUUUUGCCUCAGGGCCUUAAUGACUCUUUGGACCUUUUGCUUUUAGUCACUUUUAAAUUUUAAGAAAUUUUUAUCUUUGCGUGUUUACUUUUUAAGAAGGGGGAUGGUGAAACUGUUAAGGAUUCGGGAUUUUAAGUUAUUUUAAUUAGUUCGAUUCUUUCAUUGAUUCUGUUUGUAACUCCUUUUCCGGGAAAUGUGCGUCACUGUCAUCGUGUUGUGAUUUUUCAGUGUUCCUUUGUUAUUGUUUUAAUAUCAUGUAAUCCGAGUUAGAAUAAUUUAGUCUUACUGUUUUGAUAAUAGAGGUAGCAUCAACGAAGAGGUAUCUCUUGUGUGCUAUCUGUUCGGGUCUUAGGCCCAUUGGGCUAGCCCAUUGUUUCGUCAUAACAAGAACCCGUACACGCUACAAAUUGGUGAUAGAGGCUACGAACCCGUACACGCUAUUUAAAUUUAAUUUUUUAGUUUUUAGGGUGGGCGUUAAUUAGGAAGUGGACGUUGAUCCAAUAAUUCCCGAAAACAAAUUAGUGUACCUUAUCCUCUGAAUUUCUUCCAAAAAUCUCAGAAAAAUUAUCCACCGGAGAAAAUAGAACAACCUCAAAACAACCAAACAACAAUUUAUCAAACACUGUCAUAACAAAACAAAUGAAUAACAAAUAAGUCUCACGAUGGUAGUACUAGUCUAUACAAAGUUCUUCAUCACUUUCACGGUCAGAGUCGAUCAAAUUUUGUGGAUCAUUGGCAUCUUCCACGUCAGAAUCCGUGACGUUCGCAAAUUGAUUUGUAGUACCGUUAAAUGGAGCGUUAACGUACAGGGGCGUUAAAUAGAAAUGGAGCGUUAUCAAGAAAGUGGGCUUUAGUUAACAUUUUUUACUUUUAGGGUGGGCGUUAGUUAGGAAGGGGCCUUAAAAAGGAAGGGGGCGUUAAAUAGAUCAAAUACGGUAUUCGCCGUCCUAAGAAGAACCCUAUCGUUACACCUUCAAGACUUUGUUUGACAUCUUGGUCCCUUACUUUCAAAUACGUUUCGCCGACUCUGCAGUAGCAACAAGACAGGUUUCUAGUCGCCACAUGAUUGGGCUUCAGCUGUCACAUGUAGAUUUUAAGCGAUUAUGUGCUUAAACAUUAGCGAUGACGCGUUCAUGUUUUAUUGUUCAUAUGACUAUCCUAAAGUGCUGUACAUACCUUUCUUUGGGUUAAUUGAUUUAGAAGUGCUUAAAUUUUUGUUUCAUGUAGCUUACGUAUUUCAUCACUAAGUUACACAUAGUUGCAGAUAUCAUUUGAAACAGCUAAACUGCAUGCAUGGAAUAGUAUCAGGGCCGCCGGACGUCGGUUAAAGAGGACACAAACAUGGAUUUUUUUAAAACGUUGGUUAUUGCCAAAAACGGACAGCUUUCAAUGUAUCUCAGAAAUUUAGAAGAACAUCCUCACACCCUUCUCCCC